UGAGGAAUAUUGCACAAUGGGCGCAAGCCUGAUGCAGCGACGCCGCGUGUGGGACGAAGGGGCUACGCCUCGUAAACCACUGUAGCCCGGGACGAAAAACGCCUUAGAGGCGUUAGACGGUACCGGGAAAGUAAGUGUCGGCUAACUACGUGCCAGCAGCCGCGGUAAUACGUAGGACCCAAGCGCUGUCCGGAUUUACUGGGUGUAAAGGGUGCGCAGGCGGAUGGGUAAGUCAGGGGUGAAAGUCUGCAGCUUAACUGUAGAAUUGCCUUUGAUACUGCUCAUCUUGAGUGUGGGGGAGGUUGAUGGAAUUCCAGGUGUAGCAGUGAAAUGCGUAGAUAUCUGGAAGAACACCAGUGGCGAAGGAGGUCAACUGGCCCAUAACUGACGCUCAUGCACGAAAGCGUGGGGAGCAAACA
rnacentral:rRNA from 1 species